rnacentral:rRNA from 1 species
AGGUGAAAAGAACCCCGGGAGGGGAGUGAAAUAGAAUCUGAAACCUAGUGUUUACAAGCAGCGAAAAGCUGAGGUUAGCUGCAAAUAAGCCAAGCCUCAGAUAUCCGAAUGGGGAAACCCACCUCAAAAGAGGAAUCCUAUAGCCAAUAAAUAACUAUAGGAAGCGAACCAGGUGAACUGAAACAUCUAAGUAACCUGAGGAAGAGAAAGAAAACUCGAUUCCCAAAGUAGCGGCGAGCGAACAGGGACCANCUAGCGACCNNCACGUGUAAAAAGAGAAAAUAGCCAGUCGAAUCAUCUGGGAAGACGAACCAAAGAAGGUAACAGUCCCGUAGACGAAGGCGAAGAUAUCCGACACAAAAGAGUACCACGGAACACGAGAAAUUCAGUGGGAAUACAGGGGGACCACCCCCUAAGGCUAAAUACUACUUGGUGACCGAUAGCGAACAAGUACCGUGAGGGAAAGGUGAAAAGAACCCCGGGAGGGGAGUGAAAUAGAAUCUGAAACCUAGUGUUUACAAGCAGCGAAAGUGGCAAAAGCCACGAUCGUGUACUUUUUGUAGAACGGGCCAGCGAGUUACGAUUACAAGCAAGGUUAAACAUUAAAGAUGUGGAGCCGAAGCGAAAGCGAGUCUAAAGAGGGCAAAAGUUAGUAGUCGUAGACCCGAAACCGUGUGAUCUAUCCAUGAGCAGAGUGAAGUUGAAGUAAAAUUCAAUGGAGGCUCGAACCGGGUAGCGUUUAAAAGCUAUCGGAUGACUUGUGGAUAGGGGUGAAAAGCCAAACGAACACGGAGAUAGCUGGUUCUCCUCGAAAUAGCUUUAGGGCUAGCCUCUAGCAAGAAUGAAAAGGGGGUAGAGCACUGACUGGUCAAGGGGCAUGCAUAUGUUACCGAGACCUAUCAAACUCCGAAUACCAAAUCAUACGCUAGGGAGUCAGACUAUGGGGGAUGAGCUUCAUAGUCGAAAGGGAAAGANCCCAGACCNUCNGCUAAGGUCCCNAAAUNCAUAGUUAAGUGGNAAAGGAUGUGGAGUUNCUNANACAACNAGGANGUUGGCUUNGAAGCAGCCACUCNUUNAAAGAGUGCGUAAUAGCUCACUAGUCAAGUGACUCUGCGCCGAAGAUAACCGGGGCUAAACUAUAUACCGAAGCUAUGGAACGAAAAACGUUGGUAGAGGAGCAAUGUAUGAAGGAAGAAGCAGAAGUUGAAAAGCACUGUGGACAUCAUACAAGAGAGAAUGCUGGCAUGAGUAGCGAGAGGUGAGUGAGAAUCUCACCCGUCGAAAACCUAAGGAUUCCUGAGCAAGGCUCGUCCACUCAGGGUNAGUCGGGACCUAAGGCGAGGCUGAAAAGCGUAGUCGAUGGACAACAGGUUGAAAAUCCUGUACCGAUACAAUCAGUGAGGAAGUGGGGACGCAGAAGGAUAAUAAGAGCGCCCAGUUGGUGAGGCGUGCAAGCGCAAAGGAUGGGAAGUAGGCAAAUCCGCUUUCCGAGAAGUCUAAAGCGUGAUGCGGAUCGAAAACAAGUAGAGAAGCUUAUAACUCCACACUGCCAAGAAAAGCCACUACAAGAGAAGUAUCGCCCGUACCGCAAACCGACACAGGUAGGUGAGGAGAGAAUCCUAAGACGAGCGGAAAAACCUUUGUUAAGGAACUCGGCAAAAUGACCCCGUAACUUCGGGAGAAGGGGAGCCCCUGUAAAAGGGGGCCGCAGUGAAAAGGCCCAAGCGACUGUUUACCAAAAACACAAGUUUCUGCGAAGUCGAAAGACGAAGUAUAGGAGCUGACACCUGCCCGGUGCUGGAAGGUUAAGGGAAAAAGUUAGCAUAAGCGAAGCUUAGAACUGAAGCCCCAGUAAACGACGGCCGUAACUAUAACGGUCCUAAGGUAGCGAAAUUCCUUGUCGGGUAAGUUCCGAC